rnacentral:lncRNA from 1 species
CCCCCCCCCCCUAAUCAUCUCCCUCGCCUUACCCUUCUCGGAGAACUAAAGAAUAACCCUAACCUGCCACCCUAUUUUCUAUCACCUUGGGCCGGCGGCACCACCCCCAAACCAUCCCAAAUUAAUACCGUAGUACCCCCAAUGGCUUCCUAUUCUCAAAUCCUCACUCUGUUUCCCUCGAAUCUUGUCGGAACUUCUCGAAUCUUAAAUCGAAGGUGGAACCAUAAAAUACCAAAAACGUCCAAAUUGAAAUUUCGUAGAAGAUUUAUGCUUAUUUUUACUUUAUUUGUGUGUUCUUGAUAAGAACACAUGAUUAACAUCGAAUUGAGCCGAAAAUUUGAAGAUUUUGAAGACUCGGUCUCCAUUUCUUACUAGUCAUAGAUUGUUUUUAGGUACUUCUUUCUUUACCUUUUGAUAUUUAAUUAUUAUUUUAUUGUUAUUCUCUUCUCAUAUUCUUAUACUCUUUCUUUUAUUUUUUUAUUUUUUUCAUUUCUUCAAAUCAUCUCUAUUUGCAUGUUAGUUUCAGAACUUAUUUAAUUGGUAUUUGUUUUCUGUUUUCUUUUUUUUUUUUUAGUUUUCUGUUUCUACCUUUCUUUGGGCCCGAAAAUUGCACGAGUCAUUUAGACUCUGUAAAAUAACAGGUAAUGGUCUUUGAACUUUCAAUUUCGAAUUGAGGCUCCGAUAAAACCAAAAGCUCAAGAGGGAACUCUACCUGAAUUUAAUGACUCAUAACAUUUGAAUUGGGUCAAUUUGACCCAUGUGUUGUCUGGUCUCUUAAGGUAAAAACAGGGGUCUUAAAUGGUAGAUUAGGAAAUCUAGGUGAAACAAUGUUAUUUGACUGAAUUAUGAAGCUUCUCAGAAGCUGGGUAGGGACUUAUGUGAAAAUCUAAAUUUUACACUAAGAGUGUCUAAGCAAAAAUUAGAAUUCCAAAAGGUUUUAAGUGCAAAAAACGAUUCCUUUAGGCUACCCUAGAAGCUUGCCUAUAAAGGUAUCAUUACUUGAGAUUCAAGUUAGAUUUUUGAGAGAUAAAAAAUCCAGAAAAUUAUAACAGAAAAAACUUCGAAAAUAUCCUUGAAUUAGUUGCAUUUCCUUGUUAAAAACGGCUCAAAAUUUGUUUGGUCUUUUGUUUCUGAUUUUCAUUACUUAGUUGAACUACUGAAAAGGAUAAGAUCUUACACCUAGUUUUAAAUGAAUUGGAUUUUGGAUCUACAAAAGUUUUGGUUUGAGUUUGUUUUUUUACUGUUUGGUCUACUGUUCCAUUGUUGGGUUGGAGCCGAUUUCUGUUGAUGCUUCCCAUUGUUGAUCUAAUGUUGCUGUUUGUUUAUUCCUGAUCUCGAAACUGAGUUUCUGGUUCUAUUUUUCUAUAUACAUGUACAUGCUCUUGAACCUUAUUCAAUGUAAGAUUUGAAUUGAAGAAUGAAAUGGAAAAACGAAAGUUUGAAGUCUAGCAUUAAGCGAUUUGUUCAUAGUUUACUUUAUUUCUUUUUCUUUUCUUUGAAUCCCUUGGUUCUUGAAAUUAUUUCUUCUGUUUCUGCUUCUCUUUCAAUAUUUAGUGGUGGAUCUUGUAUUAUAUUUGUUACUUAAGCUUCUUCUAUUGAUAAUCAUGCACUAUGAAAGUUGAAGUUAUGCCUUUGAAAGUUUAAUAUCAUGUUGGAUUUGGGUGGUAGAGAAAUCCAUGCAGUAGUUACAUUUUUGCUUUCAGUUUUCUCUUUCUGUACUCAUUUGUUAAAAAAAUUAAUCCAUGUGGUUGAUAAUCUGAGUGUGAUUUUGAGGUCAAAGUAAUUUAUAUGCUAGUUUUCUGGGGUUCUGAUAGUAUUGAGAAGAGCUUAAUUGAGUUUAUGUUUCUUAAGUAGUAGUUAGUAUAAAAUUCAUGUGAAAAGAAAAAGGAAAAAAUGGUCCAGAUUGCUUUGAAGAGUAAAGGCAUGUUACUGAAUUAAUAUUGAUUGUGUAUGAGCAUAUUAAGUUGGAAUUUUUGUUUAAAUUUCAGAAUAAUUAGCUAGUUAACUUGUGCUUGAAUAGUCAAAAUUCAGAAGUAAAAAUGUUAGUUCAAUAGCAUGUUUCGUAUAGUCUUGAUUAGAUUUGUAUUUUCAAUUGAUUUUGUACCAAUAAUUGGGUUCU